AGAAAAAAACUAUUUACUAAUAUCUCAAAUUAGAAGCUUGUCAUAAAAGUUGCCCUAAUCUCUUCAGAUCAUCACAUCAACUCUUGAAUGUCAUCUUCCCUAAUCUCAACGAUGCUCUCCGCCUUUAAUAGGUAGAUGUGUCUUCUUCUUUGGGCUUUUGUUGUGUGCCCUAAUCUCAUGGAAAUUCGUCCAUUAAAUUGAUUAAGGUUUGUCUUAUUCCCUGUGUUGUUGCUGCUCGAUCUGUUCGAAAUAGAAUCCCUCAAAGCUUUCCUCGAGAGAAAACUUCAGAUGUGUUCAUUCUUCUAAUCAAGUUGUUGGUGCUGUUGUUGUUUGCCCUAAUCUCAACGAAAUUCUUCCAUUAAAUUGAUAAAAUCAUCUUCUUCUUCUUCUGGUGUUGUUGCUGCUCUAUCUGGUCGAAAUAUAAUCCAUCAAAACUUUGCUCGAGAGAAAACUACAGGACUGUUCAAUCUUCUAAUCGAGGUGUUGUUGUGCUUCUUCUAAAUUGAAUCAAAAACAACUUUGCCUAAGACAAAAUUUCAGGUUUAAGUAAAAAGAAUUGCAGGUGAUCCUCUGUUGCGUUGCAAUCCAUGUUAAAUUCCAAGAAAAUCUUAAGAAAAGUCAAAGAAGGUACUGUUAGAUGGCCAUUUAUUCAUGAAGUAUGCAACUUGGUUGCCUUGCUAUAAUAGUACAUAAUGUCCACAUCUUUGGUCUUGAAAAUAUGAAUAGUAUUUCUAAGGUUGAGGUUGCUAGUUAUUUUUAUAAGAAUUCAUUUGAAUUACUGAUUACAUUUGGUCGUUAAUCGGACUCAUAUUCUGUUUUGUCAAAGCUUGGGUCUUGGGUAUCUGAAGAUCUUUUAUGUUGUGGAGGAGCAACAAAUGUUCAUGGACAUAUCAUAAGAAUUUUGUUUUACCUUAAUUGAGAAACAUUGUUUUGGUCUUCCUGAACUAAGAAUUCGGUCGAUUAAAUUGAAUGAAUCUUUUUCUUCUAUUCAGCUUAA